rnacentral:rRNA from 1 species
UACGGAAGGGGUUAGCGUUGUUCGGAAUGACUGGGCGUAAAGCGCGCGUAGGCGGAUCAGGAAGUUGGGGGUGAAAUCCCGGGGCUCAACCCCGGAAUGGCCUUCAAAACUCCUGGUCUUGAGUUCGAGAGAGGUGAGUGGAAUUCCGAGUGUAGAGGUGAAAUUCGUAGAUAUUCGGAGGAACACCAGUGGCGAAGGCGGCUCACUGGCUCGACACUGACGCUGAGGUGCGAAAGCGUGGGGAGCAAACAGG